GUUGGUGGCAACUGUCCUCUACUUCUGAUAUAUUUAUUCAAUCUGGUGUUGCUGGUCAUUUAUGUUAUGGUUAUUUUAAGCUGGAGUAUAGGGGAUCUAUGUGCUCUAGCUUGAGGGGAGUGGUAAGAAAAAAGAGAUUAUUUUAAGAAGAAAACAUUACAAAAAUACCCCCUACAAUACAACAUUUACCAUGAGAACAAUGCGACGUAGAAGGCAAAGAUGGGGAAAGAACAUAAGCAAAGGAUAUUUUGGUCUUGCUACUUAAAAGGGAAGAAAAGUAUGAGGAGUAAGGAGUGGAUAUAACACAUGGAAGGUAUUUGAAGUGCUAUUACAUGAUGUGAAAUGUCUGAAAGAGGGUUCACAGCUUGAAAUUAUAAAUUUAUUUUCUAUGUGAAUUUCUUCAUACAUAUCUUGAAGUUCUUAUCCCAAAUUGUCCAGUGUCUUGUAGAGGUGUAGUAUUGGUGUGACAUAAAAAAGUAUGUGGAUUUACAAAUGAUUCUAUACUUAUAGUCAUGAUUUAUUGUCCAUAUUAAUCAUAUUGGAGUUGACUAUUGUUUAUUCGUUUAGCCAUUUCUUUAUCCCUGCUAUGUUUUUUUAUGUUCUUCCAAAUCUAAAACUUGAUAUUGGUUUCAAUAUUUACUGAGGAAAUUAAAACUACAGUGGUUUUAUUGAAAUAAAUUUGUGGGAAUCUUUUCAUAUCAUUAAAAUAGAAGUUGCAUAAAUUUCCUGUAUCAAUGUAGUAUACAACACACAAAAUGAGAACAAAUAAGUUCCUCACUUUUGCAUCUGUGAAUGGUUUCAUACGAUACUUUCUUCCUCAUUCCCGCCUUUAUUCCGAUUCAUUAUAUUUGGAGUUCCUUAUUUGUUAUCCUUUGCUGUCAUCUUGGGAGGAUCAAGGCACAAACAAGACAUGUAAUUGUAUCGAUCUGUACUUUCUUUCUUAUUACCCAGUUGUGCUGGGUUUACUUUCAAAUCUAGGUACAAGUAACCCCGUUAUUCUAUGCAGUCACGAAGGUAUGUGUAUUUCAAAACAAGGGUUAUAAAAAGUGAUGUAAUUGGAGGAAAAUGAAAGUAAGGAGUCUCACAUACAAUGGACUGCUAGCUGAUAUAUUUUUCCCCUUUUGUUAGCCAAAUUCAUCUUCCAAUAUCCCAUGCUUAUUUGUAACUGUUAUAGGAAAUGAAAGAAAUAGAUGUUGAGGAAUAUCUGGGUUCAUCUACUGGAGAUGACUAUGAAUUUGGUUCGGAGAAUGGUUUUGUAAAGCCUGCUGCUAGUGUGACUAAAGGAGCCCUGGUGAAAGGUGUUAAGAAAUUGAAAUGGUCUAGGUUUGAUUUCAGUGAAGGGGAAUCAGAAGAACAUGCGGAUUUGAAAGGUAGAGCUAGUGUAAAGGAGAUGAUGAGCAUAGCUGCUUUGAGAAAUUAUGAUAUGAAGAAAAUAAGAUGAGCAUAGCUACUUUGAGAAAUUAUGAUAUGAAGAAAAUAAGAUGAGCUCCUAAGCUCAUUGAAGAUGAGAGUGGAUUUUUAGAGCAAAUUCAAUCCAUGCGAGAUGAGCUGAUGAGAACAAAUUUGGAUGAAGGUGGGAGACAAAAGAGGGAGGAGGAAUCACUUCUUACUCAGAAAAGUUUUGAAAUGAUGACAUUAAUUCACUUUAUGAAGGGUAGUUUAUGCAAUCUUAAGGAGAUAGGCAAAAUUGCAGAUUGAAAUGAACAAUCGAAAUUAUUGACUGAAGAAAAACCAAACCACUUUCUUGAAAUUAUAUCUAAGGUAUAGGAAGUCUCUAGAGUGGAGUUCAAAAUAUGUUUGUCAGUUGUUAAUGUCUUCUUUAGUAGUUCUCAUUGCUCUACUUUGGUGCUUUUUCCGUGCCUUAUUAUUCUCUUUUAGUUUUUAUUUUUAUUUUGUCUCAAUUAUGGUUUUCUAAUUGAGUUUUAAUCUAGAAUAUCACAACAUCAUUGAUACUGUUACAAAUGUGGUGAUGCUAUUAAUUAUGUAUAAAUUGAUUAUAUAUGUAUGGAUCAUGUAUCCAAAGCUUGUAUCUCCCUGUAAUUUUGAUUACUGGCUUUUUUUAGUCUCCUCAGAUUUGAAGAGUGCAGCAUUUUCCCACUGAUAGUAAAAGCACUACUUUGGCGGAUAUGUGUGGAUAAUCAUUGUAUAGGUAGGAGGCCACUCUUCCUGCUUGCCUUGAUGGAAAGGAUACUUUGGUCAAGGGUAAAAUUGGCACAGGAAAAGUGCAGCAUUUUUGAUUCUUGGAAUUGAAGCAGUUCUAAAGGCAAUGAGUAGCACUGCAAACUUACGGGUUUAAGGGCUGCCUUGACGUUUCUAGGCUUCCUAGAAAAGGAGAUGUGUGGAGAGGAAAAGGCAUGCACUGGGACACAAUGACCAGUAUUAAAGUGAUGAACAGUGAUCGGAUACCAUGGAUGUCUCAACUCGGAAUAUUUCUUUAUGGACUGCUGAAAGAAAAAGGUAAAACUUCUUGAAGUUCUUCCCUCGCUUGCUUCACAUUCGGUGAUGAUACAACUUAUUGUUCAGACUAUUUUGCCAAUGCUUCAUAAAGAAGCAAAACCUUUCUUUUUUUAGGUCCUGGCAACAAGAAAUGAACUGUGUAAUACAUUGUUUCCACAAUUUUGGCUUUGAAUUGGAGAUGGGAUGGAAAGAGAGGGUGAUAAAAAUUUCAAUGAAGGAACUCAUUCUAAUAUCCUUACAUCUGUUUUUCUUGCUCAUUCAAAUCUUACAAGCUUGUAUUUAUUGAAUUAGAAUCAUAAAUGCUAGAUACAGAGAAAAAGACCUUUUGCUACCAAAGCUUUUGGAUUUCUUUGAUUCUACCUUGUACUUUUCAUAUUGCUGCAGAAGAGCCUCGUUAUAACUUACAACUUUGGUUUUUUUCCUUACUGCACGGGAGGAGGAGCUCAUCUCCAUUUAAAGUUUUCCUGAAUAAAUUAUCUGUUGUUUUGUCCUUGAUAUUUUCUUUCUGGUGGUUCUUGUAUAACUGUUUUAGUUAUCUAUGAAGCAUAUUAUUUUUUGAAGGUAAUCUGACUUAAAUAUCUUUCUCCUUGGGUGUACCUUGCCCCCCAAAGUUAGACUAACCAUUUUGGAUGGUUUCAGUUAACUCAGGGAUUUUCUUCAGCUUUCCUUCCCCCCCCCCCAUUUUAUUGUUCUAUAACACGCUUAGCUUGGUGAUGUCUUCAUACAUGUGAUUAUUAUGGAUUUCUAAUUAUUUUAGCGUCUUAAGUAUACACAUUUUAUUUGACCUUGAGACUUUGUAGAGGGAUAAAUUUUACUGAAUGAAUCAGUGUGUGAUUAUCCUGAUCUAAUGAUUGCAGACUCCGUUACACCCCCCCCCCACAAUUUUUUUUGUAUGAGUAGUUUUGUUUGCUUUAUUUAUUGAAAUGGCUGCUACACUCACACCAUUAUCUAGGUUCUCUUCUACAAUGUUAAUCAUGUGUUACUUCCUGGUCUAGAUCUCCAUCUGAGAACCUGAUGCAGAUGCCUUGAUUUGGCUGGACCGGACUGACCCACUAUGGAGGCCUAAGCCAAGACACAACCAACCCAAAGAUAUUCUGGUCUGAUCAAGAUUGGUAGUUGAUAUUUAGGAAAGCAAAUUAGUAUAUUUGAUUUUCUUUACUUUAGAAGUAGAUACAUCAUACAUAGAAUUUCUUUUGCAAUUAGUUAGUUUCCAUUUUAGAUUUAUUCCAUCUUUACUUUGCUUUCCAAUUUUAUGUGAGGACUUCUUCUUUAAAUUGCUAUAAUGAUUAUGGAGUUUCAGUUUUGAAUAAAAGAAUUGAAUAUUUGAAUUAAUGAUUGAGACUGUGGCUACUGUGAGCCUUGCAUAUCCCCCCUCCCACUUUGAUCUUCUUCUUCUUUCUUUUCUUUCUUCAUCUUCUCUUUUCUUCUUCUUCUUCUGUCUCUGUUUCCUUGUUCACAGCUGCUAGUUUUAUUCACCAUCUCUACUGGGCAGUAAUACCAAGCACCGAAAGAAGGCUUGUUGCACCUUGUCCAUUACCGGUUGAGUCUGAGAUUUUGGUUGAAGGCUGCUUCCUUGGGGGCUAUUCAAACCAUAGAGAAUCCCCUCCAAAGUCAUUCUCUGUUGUGGGCUGCAAGACUGAUUUCAGGACUGAACCCUAAAAUACCGCCAAGGUUCUAUUUCAGGUUCCUCCUGCAGCCUUCCAAUCCGCAGUUCCAAGUGUUAGUCUUGUGGGGUUUGUUAGAGCUUCUUCCAGAGAAUCUUCGCCUGAAAUUUCAGAGCAAACAGAGGCAUGAUGAAGGUUUUCUGUUGAUCUGAAGCUCUCCCUAUUUGCCGCCCCUGUUUUGAUCCAAGGAAGAAGACAACCCCCAUUGUGAGAUAGGUUGUUUAUUCCCUUUAUUCUAAUUUCCUAUUCUACCCCUCUAUUUGCCUUUAAUUUUCCCAUAUCCAAUACUACUAUUUUACUUCCUAAUUUACCCCCACCAAAUAAUUAUAAACUCCUUUUUAAGUCUCAUCUCCCAAAUACUUCAUUAAUAAUUUGUUUAUUUACGAUACUGCCACUGGAAUUUGAUUUUUCAAUUUUCUACUGCCACUGCAAUUUGAUUAUUCAGUUUUCUUAUUUGAGUGGGCCCAUUAAACAAACCGAACAGGGUUUUCGUAAACCCCAGUUCUGCAUUUAGUGGUAUCAGAGCCAAAACAUUCCUAAUGCUAUGGUGAUUAACAAUGAUCUUCUUCAAUGGAUUGGUUCAUAUAGAGAAGAGAUUGAUACAACUAUUGCCAAUCUCACUGAACGAGUGACUACCUUAGAGAGAAGUGUCAACAUGCUCAAUAAUAAUGUCACUUCUUUGGAGACUGUGAUGACUUCUUUAUAGGCUUCCAUUAACAGGUUGACAGUUUCUGAGAAAGGAAAGAGUCCCAUGAUAUCUGAGGAUUCUUCCAACUCUGUCCUGCAAGGGUUGCCACAUGUCACCCCACACCCAUUGCCACACGUUCCCCUUCCACCACCACCACCAUUACCACCAUAUGGGACUGGACGAUAUGAUGACAAACCAGACAAGGUAGCGAGAUUGGACGUCCUUGAUUUUUAUGGUGACCACAGUCUAGAGUAGUACCUUCACAGUUUGGAGAUUUUCUUCAAAUGGUAUAACUUGACAGAGGCUAAAAAGUUGAUAUUUGCAUAGGGAAAAUUGAAAGGAACAGCUCGUGUUGGUGGAUAAAACACCAACAGCAAAAUCGGACUUGAGAUUUGGGGUAAGUUACUACAUGGGCUGAAAUGCGAGGUGCGAUAGACAGAAGAUUCCAACCGACCGAUUACAAGCAACGUGUACAUCUCAAAUUUGUGCAGUUGAGACAAGACAAUAUGUCAGUUGAAGAAUACGUGGCCAGAUUCUACUAUUUAGCCACUCGAUCUAGCUUUGAGUGGGACGAGGAAGUCUUCGCAGCGCAAUUCUGCAAUGGUUUGCAUCCACAGAUUAGUGCCGCACCGGCCGCUAGUAGAUUGUCUACCAUGGAGGAUGCAAUUCAAGAGGCCUAUCAGGUUGAGGAAAGUCUUAAGAGGCCCUACACUCGGAGGGCUUUUCCCGAUGCAUAUUCUAGAGGAGAUGCCUCAUGCCCACAACAAUCUUCUCCUCUAGAGAAAUCGGGUUUGGUUAAUAAACCCCAGGCUAGUGGUUCUUCAUCAACGCCUACACGAUCGGCUCGAUCAGCUCAUCCAUAUUUCCCUCCGUGUCGUGGUUCUGAUAGACCUUACUCCCCACCUCACCGUGGCUAUGACAGGAACUCAGUAUUUCCAAAAGAGGCUAUUCAAUGCUUCACGUGCAAGGGAUACGGGCAUCGAACUAAUCAGUGUCCUAAUCGGUUGUUAGUAUUCAUCGAUAAGGACAAUUUUAUACCCUAUGCACCAAAAAAGAAACUGAAAACAGGAACGGUAAAUAUGGAGGAUGAGUGUGAACGUGAGCCUGGUGAGAUCAAUGAUGGUGAUAGUGAUGACGAGCGUCAACCAUUCUAUGUGAUCCAUCCUCGUUUGACUACAUAGAAGGUUCCCGAGGAGGACGAUUGGCGUCGUUAUAGUAUCUUUCAGACUAUGGUGCGAUGCAAUUAUAACUUAUGUAAUAUGGUGAUCGACCCCAGUAGUUGCACCAACAUCGUUGCUGAAGAUGUUCGUAAGUUGGGUCUGAAAACGGAGCCUUAAUCGAAUCCAUACAAGGUUGGGUGGCUGAACAACACUAAUUUAAAAAUUAAUGAAAGGUGUGCUCACGUAUUCCAUUGGUGGACUGAUUGAUCAGGUGCAGUAUGAUGUUCUCCCUCUGAAAGUCUAUCACAUUCUUCUAGGGCGCCCAUGGUUGUUUGACAAGAAAGCCAAGCAUUGUGGAUAUGAGAAUAUCUACUCCUUUCAGCAUGGUGGACUUGAGAUGAAGUUUCUCCCGGCAAAGGAUCUUCCCCCAUUGAAACUCAAGAAGACAGCUAGUACUUUCCUCCUCAGGUGCAUUGACUCCGACGGCAUUCUUGGACCUCAUCCAAACUCAACGGAGUCGAGUUCUUUUCAGAGGAGGCGAGCUGAUGCAGAUGCCUUGGCUGGUUGGAUCAUACUGACCCACUAUUGAGGCCUAAGCCAAGACACAACCAAUCCAAACCGAUCAAUCCGAUAUUCUGGUCUUGUCAAGCUGCUGGUUCUAUUCACCAUCUCUUCUGGGCAGUAAUACCAAGCACCAAAAGGAGGCUUGUUGCACCUUGUCCAUUAUUGGUUAAAGUCUGAGAUUUUGGUUGAAGGCCGCUUCCUUGUGGGCGAUUCAAACCCUAGAGAAUCCCCUCCAAAGUCAUUCUCUGUUGUGGGCUACAAGAUUGAUUUCAGGACUGAACCCUAAGCUACCGCCAGGUUCUAUUUCAGGUUCCUUCUGCAGCCUUCCAACCCGCAGAUCCAAGUGUUAGUCUUGUGAGUUUGUUAGCGCUUCUUCCGGAGAAUCUUCGCCUGGAAUUUUAGAGCACACAGAGGCCUGAUGAAGGUUUUCUCUCGAUCUGAAGCUCUCCCUAUUUGCCACCCCUGUUUUGGUCCAAGGAAGAUGGCAACCCCCAUCGUGAGAUAGGUUGUUAAUACCCUUUAUUCUGAUUUCCUAUUCUACCCCUCUAUUUGCCUUUAAUUUUCCCAUAUCUCAUACUAUUGUAUUACUUCCUAAUUUACCCCCACCAAAUAAUUAUUAACUCCCUUUAAGUCCCAUCUCCCAAGUACUUCAUUAAUAAUCUGUGUAUUUAGGAUACUGCCACUGCAAUUUGAUUAUUCAGUUUUCUUAUUUGAGUGGGCCCAUUAAGCGACCCGAACAGGGUUUUCUUAAACCCCGGUUCUGCAUUAGAACCAACAAGUGAAAAAAUAGAACCAAACCUGGAUUGGAAUCACUGCCAAUCAAUCUACUGCAUCACCACAUUUGGGCUGGACAAAUCAUCAUAAACUGCUACACAGGCUAGAAGGCAAGCAAACCAAUUUCAUUCUAACGUAAAUCGUGUACAGGGCUGAAGCCCCCUACAACCUUAUAUAAAAAACUCCAAAACAGACUCAAACUAAGCUUAAAACUCCUCCAGCCAAUAUAUUUCCAUGGAGGUAAUCUUAACUGACUAAAUCUCUGCAUAAAAUAAAGGAAAACAGCUUAAAACAAUGCUGGACUGAUAGAAACCUAUUUCAUAUUAACUAAAACACUUAAAUAAAAAUUAAAAUACAGAAAGACUCUAACUAGACUAAAUAAUAAAUUAAAUCCUGUAUUCCCACCUCCUACUCAUAUUUUAGGCCCAUUAAAGUGGUUUUUUAGGCUAUUACAAAGAAAGACCAUUGGACCUAAGGCCCAGCAUAUAUGUAACACAACCAAAGCAUAUUUCCACUAAAAUAACAGACUUCUGUGUUUUAUCUGCAUCAGGAACCAGGUAAGACUCCAAAUUCCAAAAUGUACAAAAAGUACAUGGGGGUCGUGUGACUCUUUUAUUUUACAAGUCUUUGAUGAUAAUUGAGUUACCUAUUCAAAAAACCAAAAAAGAUAAUUUAUUGUAUACUACUGUUUUGAAGUUCUCUCUAAAACCUUUGUUGGAUCUGACAUGCUUUUAAGGAAACUAAAAUUAAUUCAGCAAUAAAGCACCUAGUAAGUCUUUCCCAUCUUCCUGUUUUCUCUAUUUUCUCUGUUUAUCUUUAUCUAUUUUUCAUGUGCCUAUCAUGUGCCUUCCUCAUUAAAGCUACAUCUGAGAGCGAUAAAAUUGUCAGUUGACUCUUAACAUUAUAAUCUUAUAUGAACUCAUGUUGUUGGUGUUAUUGCUUAAUGUGUUUUAUCUAACUACAGGCAGUAACAAACUUAUGGUUUCCCGACUUAGUGAUACAGCUUGAAGGAUUUGAUGAUUUUACUCUUGCCUCUUCAUGGGAAAGGUAUCCUAAUGUUCAGUACGACGUCUCUUCAUGUUACAUAAGAUUUGUUGGACCAUGUACUUGGAGAUAUACAAUGUUUUUUAAUUACCAGGUUCAAAUCUGAGAUAGAUUUCUCUCUCUUGACUUUAUUUUUUUCUUAUAUCUUUCAUAUUAUUUACUUAUUCUUAUAUGACUCUGAAUAUCUUUCUCGAAUUAUCAAAGGGAUUUCCAUUGCUAGACUGAGCAAAUUUUUGUUUUCCUGUUUGACUGAAUUUUUUAUGUUUUCCAAGUCUAGUUUCUUUUUUUGGGUCUUGGCAACAAGAAUGAACUGUAAUAAAUUGUUUCCACUAUUUUGGCUUUGAAUUGGAGGAUAGAAAGAGAGGGUGAUAAAACUUCCGAUCAAUGUAAAUUCAUAGAUGAUAAUAGACUAUAAAUUCAUAGAUGAUAAUAGACUAUGUUCCUUUCACCCCAGCUCGCCAAAAAAAAAAUCCUACAUUAUUAGGCCAUAUAAUUUUUUUUUUCAGAAAAAAUGUUGGGCAUGCUGCUGAGUUGGCAACCACAAGUCAGUCUGUUUUUCUCCCCACCCUUAGGAAAUGAGGAUUCAAUACCUCUCCACCAGGGGCGGCUAGAGAGGGAUCAAUCAGUAAGACACAAACAGGAGAGAGAGUAAGGAGAGGGGCCAGAAAGAGACAAAAUAGGAGAUAGAAAGUGAAACCCCAUAUUAUUUUCCAUGAAAUAAGAUAGGACCAAAUCAUUAUAAAUUUCCAAUCCUACAACUGACAUUUGAAUCAUGUUAUCAAGGAUUUCAAUGAACGUAAGGCUGUACAAUCUACUGAUAUCGUCCUUCUAAAUUUUCUAAUCACUUGGUAUCCCACGUAGGGUAAGAUUUACAUAUUACUACUAAAAAAAAUAAAAAAUUGCAUCUGAAAAUUGUAAGGUUUCUCAAUUUGAAAUUUCUAGUGGUUUGGUAUCUGUAUGGCAUAGGUUUACAUCUGAAAAUUAUAUGCAGUUUUCUCCAAUUUAAAUUUCUAGCCAUUUGGUAUCCAUAUACCGUAAGAUUUCCAUUUGAACCUCGCACUGCCUCAAGAUAAAACUCGUAGAACUUGGAUAGGGAUAGAGAAGAACGAGAGAGGGUAGGGGAGAAAGGGGAGGGGGAGAGGUAAAGAGAAAGGCAAUGAGAGGGAGAGGGAGAGUGCUGAGGGGGGGGGGAAGAGGAAAUCAACGAAUUUGAAAGUCUAUUUCCGAAGACAUGAGUCAGUACAUGGAUUCAAGAUCUACCGAUUGAAGACCUCAUCCAGGUGUGACUGUCUCGUCUUUUUUUCCUGAACAAGAAAAGAGCCUCGGAUGGUUGACUCACUCUUGCAUCUGUGAUCUGUGAGUUGUUUCAUAAGAUACUUGCCUCCUCAUUCUUGCCUUAUUCUCUUCUUCCGAUCCCUUUUAUUUGGAGUUUAUUGAUGUUGUUACGCAGGUGAAUGUUGUUCUACUUUCAAAUAUGAUUACAAGUUUCCUCUUAUUUCUAUGCUGGCCACGAAGGUAUGUGUAUUUCAAAGACCUUCUUGGUGUCAUUGCAUCUUUAACUGAUACACCUUCGGCAUUUGGUGACGUUAUGUGUAAACUAGAUUUUUGCCUUUUCUUGUGGGGUGGAAUUUUUUUUCCUGAAAAAAUUAGGUUCCAAAUGUUGUCCAUGUCUUUAAUUUUUGUUCCUUUCUGAGUCUGUUUCAUGUUGAGAUAAAAGAUCUUAAACAAUGCAUAUCUCCUAGAAAAAUUUAUAAAUUGUUCUAUCAUGUUGGUUUCCUAUUUUUCAGUAUUUCAUAAGCCAUUUCAUUUCUCAAAGUUUGUUAUAACUGAAACCAGGGAAAUACUGCUAUUACUUUGUAGCUUAUCAGGGGAUUCUUUUUGUUAUUAUAGUGUAACAUUUUGCAUUCUUCCUUGCCUUUUUAGGUAUAUUUUCUUUCAGGGGUCAUUGUUAAUACAUUUUUUUAUUAAUAUCUUCUUGUCACUUUUUGUAGAAUUUUUUGCAGAUUAUAGUUGCAACCCCUGGCAGGUUAUUAGAUCACAUUGAGAACAAAUCUGGCUUCUCCGUUCUCUAGAUGGGCUUGAAAAUGCUUGCACUUGAUGAAACUGCCCACUAUUAGAUUUAAGAUUUUGGUAAGAUAUAGAGAAGCUUGUUGAUUGCAUACUACGUCAAAGACAGUCCUUGCUGUUUUCUGCUACUCCUCCAAAGAGGUUUAUUUGUUGAAUUACCCUUUCAAGUUUUCUUCAUUCAAAGUCAACUUUUUGUACUUGCUGUAGACAACAAAUAGAAAUAUGUGCUUUUCAUUGAUACGGUGGAUCUUGGUGGUGUGGAAACUCAUGACAAGGUAUGAGUCUUCAAUAUUGAAACUUUGGUGGUGGGGAAACUCGUAACAGGGUAUGAGUCUUCAAUUCUGAUUUUUGGUUGCUUUAUUUAUCAAUUUGUCAACAAGUGCCACCUUAUGUGUUAUACCCAUACCCAAAAACCCGGGCUAAUUUCAACUUUUGUACAUGGGUGAUGCAACCAGGUGACAACCACUAGUAACUUAUGGAUUUGCCCGGCUCAUUACAUGGAAGGACUACAAACCAUUGAAGGAGUUAAGAUGGUAGAACCAGUGCAGAGGCAGGCUUAGGACUUCAGUGGCAACAGUAAGGCUUGUGUCCGCGAGACACCAUGCUGAUGGACAUCGCUUCCUUAUUGUCAGUUAUUUAUCCUUAUGUAUUAUUUAUAAUCUCGUAAUGCCUAGGAUCGGAAUUCCAAUGAAUUUUGGUAUAUGGUAAUUAUCAUUUAGUGAAUCACCAGUAGUAAAGUUUACAAAUCUUAUACGUGUAUUCUGAUUUUAGUUGUGAUUUUGGGGCAUUUACGGAUUGGGUUAUUGUAUCUGUGAUCCUG